UACGGGGGGGGCAAGCGUUGUUCGGAAUUACUGGGCGUAAAGGGCUCGUAGGCGGCCAACUAAGUCAGACGUGAAAUCCCUCGGCUUAACCGGGGAACUGCGUCUGAUACUGGAUGGCUUGAGAUUGGGAGAGGGAUGCGGAAUUCCAGGUGUAGCGGUGAAAUGCGUAGAUAUCUGGAGGAACACCGGUGGCGAAGGCGGCAUCCUGGACCAACACUGACGCUGAGGAGCGAAAGCCAGGGGAGCAAAGCGGGG
rnacentral:rRNA from 1 species